GAUGAACGCUGGCGGCGUGCCUAAUACAUGCCAGUCGAGCGAACAGACGAGGAGCUUGCUCCUCUGACGUUAGCGGCGGACGGGUGAGUAACACGUGGAUAACCUACCUAUAAGACUGGGAUAACUUCGGGAAACCGGAGCUAAUACCGGAUAAUAUAUUGAACCGCAUGGUUCAAUAGUGAAAGACGGUUUUGCUGUCACUUAUAGAUGGAUCCGCGCCGCAUUAGCUAGUUGGUAAGGUAACGGCUUACCAAGGCAAUGAUGCGUAGCCGACCUGAGAGGGUGAUCGGCCAAACUGGAACUGAGACACGGUACAGACUCCUACGGGAGGAAGCAGUAGGGAAUAUUCCGCAAUGGGCGAAAGCCUGACGGAGCAACGCCGCGUGAGUGAUGAAGGUCUUCGGAUCGUAAAACUCUGUUAUUAGGGAAGAACAAAUGUGUAAGUAACUAUGCACGUCUUGACGGUACCUAAUCAGAAAGCCACGGCUAACUACGUG
rnacentral:rRNA from 1 species